rnacentral:rRNA from 1 species
UCGGGAAUUUUGCACAAUGGCCGAAAGGCUGAUGCAGCAACGCCGCGUGAGCGAAGAAGGCCUUCGGGUUGUAAAGCUCUGUUGCCUGCGCAGAAGGGCCCUGUCAGGAAAUGGGCGGGGUUUGACGGUAGCAGGCGAGGAAGCCCCGGCAAACUACGUGCCAGCAGCCGCGGUAAUACGUAGGGGGCGAGCGUUGUCCGGAAUCACUGGGCGUAAAGGGCGUGUAGGCGGCCUGUGAAGUCAGGGGUGAAAGACCGGGGCUCAACCCCGGGGAUGCCUCUGAAACUGGCGGGCUUGAGUGCUCUAGAGGGCAGUGGAAUUCCCGGUGUAGCAGUGAAAUGCGUAGAGAUCGGGAGGAACACCAGUGGCGAAGGCGGCUGCCUGGGGAGUCACUGACGCUGAGGCGCGAAAGCUAGGGGAGCAAACAGG